CACCGCCGUGUAUUGUGCAGAUUCUUUAGUGGCGAAGAGGAUGGUACGACAAUGGGCCGCCCUCUUAGUACGCCGCAGCCUUCGCUACCAUGGGAGGAUAUGCUAGCCCGCCGCAGUUUGACGAGACGAGUGACAAGUGGCCAGCUUACCAAGUUCGACUGGAGGCCUUCUUUGAAGGCAAUGGCGUCACGGACGACAAGAAUAAGCGGACCCUGUUCGUUGCAGCACUGACGACCCACACCGUGGAUUUACUUAUGCUAUCUUCGGCUGGUCGUUUCUGAGCGCUCUAGAGCGCUCUCGCGAGCGGCGUUGUCUUCGGCUGGUUGAAAGAGGGUGCGCGCCCUGCGUUCGGCUGGUUCUUCUCGAUUGCUCUCCUCCAUCUUGGAGCGCUCUGAGGCGCUCCGAGCCCUGUCGUCGGAGCAGUCAUCGAGACUGAAACGUCAUCGCAGCGCCGCGACGCUGCUGUUGGCGACGGCCCACCGUAACCUUGGCAACCUAGGCCACUGCAUGCUGGCGACUCGACAAACGCUCGUCCCGCCGGCACGUCCACCGGUUUUUCCGGCAGCGCCGGGAGCUUUGGAUAGGCGAAUCAUCGGACGUUGGCAGUAGUCACGUGGUUUCGCAUCGGCAAUUUCCUCCUCCGAGAGUGAGUCGCACGUUCGGCUUGCGCGCUUGUCCUCUACCCUUGAGCUCGGGAAACGCGCGAUCUACCCGACUCUGCUUCGGGGCAUACAGGCGACCAGUCGAAGAUACCAUUAGUGGUCGAUGCGCGCUAGACAAGGUGAACGAACUUUCUUACGUCCAAGUGGUAGCUUUGUUGCAGCAGCACUUUUCGCCGCAACUAAACGAAAUAGCCCAGUCACGAGUUCUUUACACGCGACCAGCUGCCAGGCGAACCGGUCAAAGAUUUCAUAGUUCCCAUUCGUCAAAUAGUGGACGCAUGCAAUUUUGGCUCAACGUUGGAUCGAAUGCUGCGAGAUCGUAUCGUUUGUGGGCUGCAGAGCGCAGGAGUGCGUCGACAGUUGCUUGCGAAGCCGCAGCUGAAGAGGAGUGAAGCAGAAGAAAUCGUGCUAUCAGAUGAAAUGGCAGAAGCGAACGCGCAGCAGUUAAGGGGCCACGCCGCUGAAGGAAGCGUACAUGGGAGGACAGUUUUAUCGCCCAAGAAACCGGCCACGGAUUAUUUCGUGCAACCGCUGCGGAGCGAAAGGGCAUGAACCAGAGGAUUGCCGGUUCCAUUCGGCACCAUGCUUCAAGUGCCAACAGCGGGGUCAUAUCGCCCGAGCCUGUUUCUGUCGAGAGAGUUCAUUGAAGGGCCACCAGGGCUGCCGCGUCAGGUAAAUACCCUACCGUCUCGAGAGGAGAGCACAUAUGUGGGCACGUACGGUAUAUUUGCGCUGGAAGCAGCAGACAGUCAUGUCAGCUACGUCGCCAUCACGCAACCCAUUGUACGUACGUUGAAUCGUGGGGGCGUUCCAGUGGCCAUGCAGGUCGAUACAGGGUUACCAGUGUCGGUCAUCACAUGGCCCACCUACGAGCAAAACAAAGCAGUGUGGCCCAAGAUGCGUGAUUCGCCAUUGAAACUGACUUACUUCCUGGGCUGAAGCAACUCAAGCUGAAGGUUUGCUGCGGAAACCGGUCGACAGACGGCUCCCUGACAGUCCUCGGAUGCUCCGGCCCCAACCUGUGUGGACGCGGCCUCAUCCAGGCGUUCAACAUGCUGGAGCUGUGAGUAAUGAAGGUGAACACGCCAGAUCGGACUGUACCAGUGAUGGUGGCCACCCGAAUUCACCGAUGGGCUCUGCUGCUGAGUGCAUACGACUACGUCAUCAAACACCAGCCGGGAAAGGACAACGUCCCAGCAGAUGGCCUCAGCCGACUCCCGACGUCCGCAACGUCUCGGCGAGAGACCCUGGAAGAAACCGGGGAUGCCGAGUAUGGGGUGUUGCUAACGGAAAACCGCAACGAAGCUGUUAUUUCCGCGAAACAGCUGGCCGCUCUCACCUCGCACGAUGACGACUUAGCAAAGGUGCAAAAAUGGGUGCGGGAAGGAUGGCCAAGAGACUUGGUGCCCCAGGACCUGCAUUUGCGAUCAUACUUCCACCGGAAGGCUGAGAUAACGUGGAGUCAUGGGCUUUUAUACUGGGGCCAUCGCGUCAUCGUGCCUAACAGCGCAAGCGCGGGAAUGUUACGCCUGCUGCAUGAUGCCCAUCUGGUAUUUGCUCAAUGAAGCAGCUAGGUCGGUCCCUGCUUUGGUAUUCCGGGAUUGAGAACAUGGUUAAGUCGUGUCUCAGUUGCGCACAAGCAGCGCCUAUGCCCCCCAAGAAAACCCCGGUCGCAUGGCCAGAAACGGGCGAACGUUGGUCCAGGCUGCAUAUUGACUUUGCGGGGCCGAUCGAUGGACGCGUGCUACUGACCGUUGUGGAUUCAUAGUAAAUGUAUCGAAGCAGUACUCAUGAAAAGCACGCCACCAUAGCCCACGCCGCCAUAGAAGCUCUGCGCACCUUGUUCGGCGGGUUCGGAUUGCCCCGGACGCUCGUUUCUGAUAAUAUCCCGCAAGUUACAAGUGUUUAAUUUAGGAAGUUUAUGAAGCUGAAUAACAUAACAUAUCUCCGGACAGCGCCGUAUCAUCUGCAGUCCAACGGGCCCGCGCAACGCGCCGGGCGAACUGUUAAAAGAGUUUUCGAAGAAGAAUGUCCACGGGUCUUUGAAAACACGCUUGGCAAGGAUUCUUCACAGGUACCGAAGGACGCCGGGGGCAGUACCCCAGCGAAACUCCUUAUGGGCUACCAGCUCCGUUCCAGACUGGACAACGCAGUGGCACCACCUGGGCCUCUCACCCCGCAGUCUCCAGUUGACCGCCACGUUCGUGCUUUGUUGUAGCCGGGGGAACCUGCCUGGGUAAAGAACUUCGGGCAAGGCGAGCCAUGGAUCCCAGCCCGAAUCACGUCAUCGGACGGCACUCGCACGGUGAACGCCGAUGGUCCAGAGGGGCAGAACAUUCGUUGACACAGCGAUCGGAUCAAGCCACGAGUAGGGGAGCAUGACCUGGACGACGGAGCCUGUGUGUCUGAGCGCCAAGAAGAAACCGCCAGUCCCCAAGUAGUUGGGACACCAGGGCAGGGGCCAGCAAUACGCCAGCGCUGCGCCGGUCGGGCCGGACACGAAAACCCCAGACCGCUAUAUACUGUAGGGUGAACUAGAUGCUACAUCGUAAUGACGUCAUGCCAGCUUACGGCAGCAGUUAUCACCGCUGUUCUUCCUCCUCACACUCCUUCUAUAACCGUCUCGCACAACGCCUAUAUUAACACGCAUCAAAGCAAUAAA